CAAAUGGGGGGUGCCUAAUACAUGCAAGUCGAGCGGACAGAUGGGAGCUUGCUCCCUGAUGUUAGCGGCGGACGGGUGAGUAACACGUGGGUAACCUGCCUGUAAGACUGGGAUAACUCCGGGAAACCGGGGCUAAUACCGGAUGGUUGUUUGAACCGCAUGGUUCAAACAUAAAAGGUGGCUUCGGCUACCACUUACAGAUGGACCCGCGGCGCAUUAGCUAGUUGGUGAGGUAACGGCUCACCAAGGCAACGAUGCGUAGCCGACCUGAGAGGGUGAUCGGCCACACUGGGACUGAGACACGGCCCAGACUCCUACGGGAGGCAGCAGUAGGGAAUCUUCCGCAAUGGACGAAAGUCUGACGGAGCAACGCCGCGUGAGUGAUGAAGGUUUUCGGAUCGUAAAGCUCUGUUGUUAGGGAAGAACAAGUGCCGUUCAAAUAGGGCGGCACCUUGACGGUACCUAACCAGAAAGCCACGGCUAACUACGUGCCAGCAGCCGCGGUAAUACGUAGGUGGCAAGCGUUGUCCGGAAUUAUUGGGCGUAAAGGGCUCGCAGGCGGUUUCUUAAGUCUGAUGUGAAAGCCCCCGGCUCAACCGGGGAGGGUCAUUGGAAACUGGGGAACUUGAGUGCAGAAGAGGAGAGUGGAAUUCCACGUGUAGCGGUGAAAUGCGUAGAGAUGUGGAGGAACACCAGUGGCGAAGGCGACUCUCUGGUCUGUAACUGACGCUGAGGAGCGAAAGCGUGGGGAGCGAACAGGAUUAGAUACCCUGGUAGUCCACGCCGUAAACGAUGAGUGCUAAGUGUUAGGGGGUUUCCGCCCCUUAGUGCUGCAGCUAACGCAUUAAGCACUCCGCCUGGGGAGUACGGUCGCAAACUGAUACUCAAAGAUUUGACGGGGGCCCGCACAAGCGGUGGAGCAUGUGUUUAAUUCGAAUCAACGCUAAGACCUA
rnacentral:rRNA from 2 species